rnacentral:rRNA from 1 species
UUCUGCAGCUAUAUCAGCAGGCGUGAGCCAGGCCAGUACCUGGAUGGGAGACCUUCUGGGAAAACCGAGGUCCCUGCUGAAG